rnacentral:tRNA from 1 species
CAACCAAAAGCUCAAUGGGUAAAGCAUUUGAUUUCUAAUCAACAGGUCACGGGUUCGAGCCUCGAUUGGUGCA